UACAGAGGUGGCAAGCGUUGUUCGGAAUUACUGGGCGUAAAGGGCGCGUAGGCGGCCAUCGCAAGUCAAUUGUGAAAUCUCCGGGCUUAACUCGGAAAGGUCAACUGAUACUGCGAGGCUAGAGUGCGGAAGGGGCAACUGGAAUUCUCGGUGUAGCGGUGAAAUGCGUAGAUAUCGAGAGGAACACCUGCGGCGAAGGCGGGUUGCUGGGCUGACACUGACGCUGAGGCGCGAAAGCUAGGGGAGCGAACGGG
rnacentral:rRNA from 1 species